rnacentral:tRNA from 3 species
GGUCCUGUAGUUCAACGGAUAGAAUAGAGGUUUCCUAAACCUUAGAUUUGGGUUCGAUUCCCAACGGGACUA